rnacentral:rRNA from 1 species
GACGAACGCUGGCGGCGUGCCUAAUACAUGCAAGUCGAACGAACUCUGGUAUUGAUUGGUGCUUGCAUCAUGAUUUGCAUUUGAGUGAGUGGCGAACUGGUGAGUAACACGUGGGAAACCUGCCCAGAAGCGGGGGAUAACACCUGGAAACAGAUGCUAAUACCGCAUAACAACUUGGACCGCAUGGUCCGAGUUUGAAAGAUGGCUUCGGCUAUCACUUUUGGAUGGUCCCGCGGCGUAUUAGCUAGAUGGUGGGGUAACGGCUCACCAUGGCAAUGAUACGUAGCCGACCUGAGAGGGUAAUCGGCCACAUUGGGACUGAGACACGGCCCAAACUCCUACGGGAGGCAGCAGUAGGGAAUCUUCCACAAUGGACGAAAGUCUGAUGGAGCAACGCCGCGUGAGUGAAGAAGGGUUUCGGCUCGUAAAACUCUGUUGUUAAAGAAGAACAUAUCUGAGAGUAACUGUUCAGGCAUUGACGGUAUUUAACCAGAAAGCCACGGCUAACUACGUGCCAGCAGCCGCGGUAAUACGUAGGUGGCAAGCGUUGUCCGGAUUUAUUGGGCGUAAAGCGAGCGCAGGCGGUUUUUUAAGUCUGAUGUGAAAGCCUUCGGCUCAACCGAAGAAGUGCAUCGGAAACUGGGAAACUUGAGUGCAGAAGAGGACAGUGGAACUCCAUGUGUAGCGGUGAAAUGCGUAGAUAUAUGGAAGAACACCAGUGGCGAAGGCGGCUGUCUGGUCUGUAACUGACGCUGAGGCUCGAAAGUAUGGGUAGCAAACAGGAUUAGAUACCCUGGUAGUCCAUACCGUAAACGAUGAAUGCUAAGUGGUUGGAGGGUUUCCGCCCUUCAGUGCUGCAGCUAACGCAUUAAGCAUUCCGCCUGGGGAGUACGGCCGCAAGGCUGAAACUCAAAGGAAUUGACGGGGGCCCGCACAAGCGGUGGAGCAUGUGGUUUAAUUCGAAGCUACGCGAAGAACCUUACCAGGUCUUGACAUACUAUGCAAAUCUAAGAGAUUAGACGUUCCCUUCGGGGACAUGGAUACAGGUGGUGCAUGGUUGUCGUCAGCUCGUGUCGUGAGAUGUUGGGUUAAGUCCCGCAACGAGCGCAACCCUUAUUAUCAGUUGCCAGCAUUAAGUUGGGCACUCUGGUGAGACUGCCGGUGACAAACCGGAGGAAGGUGGGGAUGACGUCAAAUCAUCAUGCCCCUUAUGACCUGGGCUACACACGUGCUACAAUGGAUGGUACAACGAGUUGCGAACUCGCGAGAGUAAGCUAAUCUCUUAAAGCCAUUCUCAGUUCGGAUUGUAGGCUGCAACUCGCCUACAUGAAGUCGGAAUCGCUAGUAAUCGCGGAUCAGCAUGCCGCGGUGAAUACGUUCCCGGGCCUUGUACACACCGCCCGUCACACCAUGAGAGUUUGUAACACCCAAAGUCGGUGGGGUAACCUUUUAGGAACCAGCCGCCUAAGGUGGGACAGAUGAUUAGGGUGGUAG